CCCUUCUAUUUUUUUCUUCAUGUCUGCUGCUGGGAGAGGCUCAGGGAUGCUUUUCUGGCUUAUUAAAGUCUCUUGUUCUUUUUCUUGCUCUGAUGAAACCUCUGCUGCAUCCUGGGGCUUUGGGGCAUUUUCUUUUUCUUUCUUGCUUUUAGGUAUUUCAUGUUUGAUGCGUUUGGUUCCAGAUACUUUUGUUUUGUUCUCAUUUUCCUGUGAACUGUUCUCCUGUUUCCGAGGUUUG
rnacentral:lncRNA from 1 species